rnacentral:rRNA from 1 species
AGUGAACGCUGGCGGUAGGCCUAACACAUGCAAGUCGAACGGCAGCACAGUAAGAGCUUGCUCUUACGGGUGGCGAGUGGCGGACGGGUGAGGAAUACAUCGGAAUCUACUUUUUCGUGGGGGAUAACGUAGGGAAACUUACGCUAAUACCGCAUACGACCUACGGGUGAAAGCAGGGGAUCUUCGGACCUUGCGCGAUUGAGUGAGCCGAUGUCGGAUUAGCUAGUUGGCGGGGUAAAGGCCCACCAAGGCGACGAUCCGUAGCUGGUCUGAGAGGAUGAUCAGCCACACUGGGACUGAGACACGGUCCAGACUCCUACGGGAGGCAGCAGUGGGGAAUAUUGGACAAUGGGCGCAAGCCUGAUCCAGCCAUACCGCGUGGGUGAAGAAGGCCUUCGGGUUGUAAAGCCCUUUUGUUGGGAAAGAAAAGCAGCAGGUUAAUACCCCGCUGUUCUGACGGUACCCAAAGAAUAAGCACCGGCUAACUUCGUG